GCUGGACCGCCAGUGAUAAGGUUUUCAUCAGGUUACUCUGCAGUAGAUAUCACCUAGGACUAGGGAUACCCUGUAUGAACCAGAGCAUUCUUGAUAUUAUACAGCUUAACUUCACACUCAUUGGCUAUGGACAUAGGAAUGAGGGUAGAUUGAUUAAAGGUUUUCUCACCAAGGACUUGGGAGAAAAUACCCUUGAGAACUGGUAGUAAUUGAUAUUUGUUGAUGCAGUAGUAACUCAGAGUAAUUACAAGGAUAAAUCAUACACCUUCCCUGGCAUUGUUCCUUUUUCUCCAGAAACCCCU
rnacentral:lncRNA from 1 species